AAGUCGUAACAAGGUCUCCGUUGGUGAACCAGCGGAGGGAUCAUUAGAGGAAUACCCAAAACCUCCCAACCCCUGUGAACUUACCACUGUUUCCUCGGCGUGCGCACCUGGUUGCCCGCGGGGGAUCCGAGCCUACCCUGUAGCUACCCUGUAGCUACCCUGUAGACCCGGGUCCUCAGCACACGGCGCCGCUCAAGGUCCCGCCGAAGUACCCUGAACUCUGUUUAACGUGGAAUUCUGAAUGCUUCAACUAAAUAAGUUAAAACUUUCAACAACGGAUCUCUUGGUUCUGGCAUCGAUGAAGAACGCAGCGAAAUGCGAUAAGUAAUGUGAAUUGCAGAAUUCAGUGAAUCAUCGAAUCUUUGAACGCACAUUGCGCCCGCCAGUAUUCUGGCGGGCAUGCCUGUCCGAGCGUCAUUUCAACCCUCAGGCCCUGGUUGCCUGGUGUUGGGGCGCCGCGCACCCUAGCGGGCGCGGGCCCCGAAAGUCAGUGGCGGGCUCGCCAGGACUCCGAGCGCAGUAAUAUUGCCUCGCUGCGGAGGACCUGGUGGGCUACCCAGCCGUAAAACACCCCAACUUCUAAAGGUUGACCUCGGAUCAGGUAGGAAUACCCGCUGAACUUAA
rnacentral:rRNA from 1 species